rnacentral:rRNA from 1 species
CACCGCCGUCACACCAUGGGAGUCGAUUGCUCCAGAAGUGGCUGCGCCAACCCGCAAGGGAGGCAGGUCCCCAAGGAGUGCUCGGUAACUGGGGUG